GUCAUAUCUGACGGAUAUCUCGCUCGGGAGUCUCUCCACUUGGCAGCUCCUGCAGCAUGCCCGCCGGGCUCAGUGCCUCCCUAGCUCUGUUCUUUCCCCCAUGACCUCCGUCCACAGCCGCUCCCCCUCUAGUCUGGGAGCACUCUGAGGGUAGUAAGAGUGCUGUGUGUGUCUCUGCAUUUGGCACAUGAAAGAACAAGACAUGUGCGUAAGUAAAGCAUCUGGGGGAACACAGGACUUAGGUAAGUGAAAGACAGCGUGUGGAUUUGGUAGACAAGUGGGUAGGGUACCGAAGGCUGAGCUAGGACCUUAGAGUCAGAGCUGAAUUUAAUAGAAAGAAGCAUCCCUAACCAUGAGUUGGGAGGCCUGGAGGAAGGUAAUGAGCUCACCAUCCCUCAAGGUAUCUGAACAGAGAUGAGCUGAUGGGCCACUUGAAGAUGCUGGAAAGAGGGGAGCUUUACUGGGUGACAGGUUGCGCUGGAUGGUUACAUGUUCCCUCCGCUUCCGUCAUAUCACUGAUUUGUGUUCCGUAGAGCGAGAUUGAACAAACCGCUAACCCAGGCCAUAGAGGCAUUCAGGUGGUUGGGAGCUGGGCCUGUGCCUCCAGGCAGACCUGAUUUUGAAUCUGGGCUCUACCACUUUGCUGCGCCAAAGUGGGCAAGAUCCUCACCCUCUCUGAGCACAAGUGACUUAGUGUCUAUGGCCCUGGAAUGCUUUCUUCACUUCUUCCCCGCAGGGCUCUGACCCACGCAGCAGAGACAAAGGCUACCUCCGAAAUGGACAGCAGGCACUCAGUGACAGCUAGCAGUGAAGUCUUUUCAAGAUGUAAAUCCCUGCGAAGUUUGCCAGAAUCUAGUCGACACCCCCCGUGUGCUUUCAUCCACUGCCGAUUCUUUGCCAUUUCGAACCUCAUGUAAUCUCUACACCCAGUGUGGGGCUUGAACUCACAACCCUGAGAUCAAGAGUUGCACACGCACUGACGGAGCCAGCCAGGUGCCAUUGUACGUCUUCUUUAGAGAAAUAUCUACUCAAAUCCUUUGUUCAUCUUAAAAUUAAAUUAUUUGGCUUAUUAUUGAGUUAUAAAUGUUCUUUAUAUAUUCUGGACACAAGAGAUGCAAUUUUUUUUUCCCAUUUGGUGGGAUAUCUUUUCACUUUCUUGAUGGUGUCCUUUAGAACAUAAGUUUUACAGUUUUUAUGAAGUCCACUUUAUUUCCUUGUCUUUGAUUCUUUUGCUCUUAAUGUCAUAUCUAAGAAACUGUUUCCUAACCUGAGGUCAUGAAGAUGUCCUCCUAUAUUUUCUUCUGAGAGUUCUUUUUUAGUUUUAGCCCUUACAUUUAGGUUUGUGACCCAUUCUGAGUUAAUUGCUCUGUACAGUAUGAGGUAAGGGUCAGACUUCAAUAUUUUGCAUGUGCAUCUCCAGUUGUCCUAGCCCAGUUGUCCUAGAACCAUUUCCUUUUUUUUUUUAAUAUUUUAUUUAUUUAUUUGAUAGAGACAGAAAGAGCACAAGCAGGGGGAGGGGCAGCAGGAGAGGGAGAACCAGAUACCCACUGAGCAGGGACCCCAACAUAGGGCAUGAUUUGGGGACUCCAGGCUCCUGACCUGAGCCAAAGACAGACGCUUAACCAACUGAGCCACCCAGGUGCCCUGGAUUAUUUUCUUAAUUUCAUUUUUGGAAUGUUCCUUGCUGGCAUAUGGAAAUACAACUGAUUUUCUUUUUUCUUUUUCUUUUUUUUUUUUUUAAGAUUUUAUUUAUUUAUUUGAGAGAGAGACAGUGAGAGAGAACAUGAGUGAGGAGAAGGUCAGAGGGAGAACAGACUUCCCAUGGAGCUGGGAGCCUGAUGUGGCACUCGAUCCUGGGACUCCAGGAUCAUGACCUGAGAUGAAUGCAGUCGUCCAACCAACUGAGCCACCCAGGCGCCCAAUACAACUGAUUUUCAUAUAUUGAUCUGGUA
ensembl:lincRNA